rnacentral:lncRNA from 1 species
GAGAGAAGUGGGUUCCUGGGACCCAGCAAAGAUCUGAAAUGAGAAUUAAAGCCCAUGGAGAGAAUGAAGAGAGGGACCACAACACAAAAGAGGGUAAUUAACACUUUCUUCUUGAGUCCCAGCUGGUGUCCUGGGAGGGGCAGCUGAAACCUGCAGAGGCACGGUAACUACUGGCAACCCAGAGGCCUCCAUGGAAAAACACACCAAUGGAACAGAGCAGUGGACGCUGCAGCCUGCAAUGGCUGGCGGAGUGGGAAGAGUCUGAGCCCGAGAGGAAAGCACUGACCGCUGGAGAAGGUUUCCUCAGAGGAGGGGGACCCAAGAAGGGGCCGGCUUUAGGGUCCCCAGGGGGCUCCUGGCUGCCCCUGCGGAAGGAGGCACAGACACCGCAGGGCGUCCUCACUGUGCUCUUCCCUGAGCUGUUACAUCUUGGCGACCUAUGGGGCCUGUUACUAUCACCCGGUGAGAGGCGCCAGGCCUCCGACUUGCGUCCUUCCCAGCUGACCAGGAACCCUGCUGCUGAGACCUGGGACCGAGCGCAGACUGGAGCUCGAGUUCUUUCAGGCAGUGUGGUACUCUGUGAGGGACCCGAGUACGGUUUCUUCCUGCUGUGGGUAAGCAAGAGAGUAACCCAGGAACUCUGAAUAAUGGCCCUUCGAGAAAUCGCUGCUUGCAACGGUAUGACGGAAAAUAAAUCCAAGAGUGAAGUAACUUCCAGACUUCCUAACUCCUGGACCCCAGAAUCCUACCCACCCCCCUGGGGUCACCAAAAGCUUCAGUAUGAUGCUUCUUCUCAUUCACCCUAAGCCUCUGCUGAUCUACUUUCCUGUUACUGAGCACAGCCAGCUGUUUUUCAUGUGUGAAGAGAAGUGAAGAAAUCAUUUGCUGAGUUCCCAAGUGCAAAGGUUUUCAUAUGAGUUACGGAAACCCUUUGCACUAUUUAUUUAUUAUCUUUAUGAAUUCAUGUUGCAUACUUUGUAAAUUCUUGGUGGAAAGUGCAUGUCUUCAGUUGUCUUUUGUGUCAACUUGUAAAUAAGAGAAGCUGGACUCAAAUUCCUAUUUUCUGACUUUGAUUCCACAGUAUUUCCACCAAUCACACUGUCUAACACAGGAAGGAAAAGAGCUACUGCCUCUUGAGUGUGAAUUAACACAUUCUUAUAAUAACACUUGAAAAAUUCCUUGUCUUCUCCGCCCUUUAGUAAUUCCCCUCUUCUCUUAGGAAGCCUAACAAGCAACCAACCCAACACAGGAAACGAAGAAACAUCUUUGGCCCAAUUUGCUCUUUAUAAGACCAGAAAACCAUGACAUAUCUAUCAGAAAAUGCAAUUACUUUCCAUUCCUGUACAUAGGUGUAUUUCAAAGGUAACUUCAUUUUGCGGGAGCAGUGCUUUUGGAACAAACACUGUGUUCUAACAUGAAACCAAGCUCUACCAGGGGAGAAACGACAAGGGAGUAAAGGUGUUCUGUGAGAAAUAUAUCAUCAGUGUGCUGUUUUUGAGAGUUCCUUCUAAAGUGAGCAGUGGUUUGUUUUGUGGAAUUGAAGCACUGAUAUAAAGAUUAUUUUCCCUAACAUUAAAAAAGGGAGUAUAACAUUUGAAAUAAGAAAGCAAGGGUAUUUCAAAGCUAUUCAACAUCAGGGCAAUAAUGGAAGUUAGUAGACAGGAUGUGUGAGUAAUGUCGUAAACUGUGGUUAAAAUGAUUCCGUAUGUGAAUCUUCUUUGGAUCUGAAAGGGCAGUUUUUUCACAUGAUUACAAAAGACCCAACUUUAAAAAGAGAUUAAGUAGAUGGUCACUUGUUUUGGGAGGCUUGCUAAAUGAGAGAAAUCCAUUCCUGGAGGAAUGGAAUCAUUGAUUUAAAAGGGUGCAAAAAUCCUUAGAGAAUAUCCCUUAAAAUUUUGUUUUCAAAACACUAGGCAUAACCUUUUAGUCAGGCAUGAAAUCUAUUCAAUGCCAGUAUAAAACCAAGUAGAAGAGAACAGGAAAAAACAUUACAAAUUGCAAUGCACACAGUAAAAUUAGAUACUGUUUCAUGAAAAUUUUGUUUCACACACACACGUUAUUUUAUUUAAAAUGUAUUUCUUGUAACCAAGUGAUGGAGGGACAGGGGGAUGGAGGGAAGGAGAAAGGGAUGAAAAAAGAAUUAAGUUGUGUUAUGUGUCUGUACCAACUCCCCAUGAGGAAUGUAGUCAUGAUGUACUGGAAACACAUACUAAUAAAAGUAACUGAGAAAAAGAAAAUGUGUAUGUUUCCUCAAUGAAGUAUUCCUCUGCUAUAAAGAAAGAUAAAUCGAGUCACUUGUAGGAAAAUGGAAGCAACUUGAGACCAUAAUGUUAAGUGAAAUAAGUCAGACACCC